rnacentral:rRNA from 1 species
CCUACGGGUGGCUGCAGUAGGGAAUUUUCGUCAAUGGGCGCAAGCCUGAACGAGCGAUGCCGCGUGAGUGAAGAAGGCCUUCGGGUCGUAAAGCUCUGUUUCGGGGGAAAAAAGGCAGCAUCAGGAAAUGGGUGCUGACUGAUGGUGCGCCGCCAGAAAGUCACGGCUAACUACGUGCCAGCAGCCGCGGUAAUACGUAGGUGGCGAGCGUUAUCCGGAAUGGUUGGGCGGAAAGGGUGCGCAGGCGGUCCUGCAAGGGUGGAGUGAAACGGAUGAGCUCAACUCAUGCAUGGCUGUGGAAACUGGAGGACUGGAGAGCAGGAGAGGGCGGUGGAACGCCAGGUGUAGCGGUAAAAUGCGUAGAUAUAUGGCAGAACACCAGUGGCGAAGGCGGCCGCCUGGCCUGUUGCUGACGCUGAGGCACGAAAGCGUGGGGAGCAAAUAGGAUUAGAUACCCCUGUAGUC